rnacentral:lncRNA from 1 species
CCUCUUACCUUAGCAUUAAUUAGUUAUUUCCCGCCAAAUAUAUCAUUCUAACUUUUGGGAAGAAAUUUGUCAUUCUAUAUUUUAACUCUUAUUUAACUAUAUUUUAAUCUGGAUAGAGUGACAUGUCCUUAACGGCAAGGAUAUUUAUGAUAAUUUUAUGUGUUUGAAGAGGUAUUUAUGAUAUUUUAAAGUUUAAAGGAGUAUUCACAAAAUUUAUAAGUUUGAUAAGGUUACUAAUGAAACUGUCCUUUUUCUUUAUAAUAAUAAUUUCAUAUAAUUUAGGGUAGACUUCAAAUACCAACCCUGUGAUUUUGCACUUUUUCACUUUAGUAUCAUAUAGUUUAAAAAGUAUCACUUUAUUACCCUAUGGCUUCGUUUUUCUCUUUUCAUUAGCACCUUCAUUAACUCUUCAUUAAAUUAUAUAUAAAAAACUUCAAAUACUCCACCUAAGCUUUAUUGAAUAUUCACUUUUAUAUCCUGUAGUUUACCAAAUUUUUAUAUUAGUACUUUAUGGUUUUAACUUUAUCACUGAUAUAAUUGAAAAAUUAAUGGAGGGGAUAAUAGAAAGAGAAAUUUAUUAAAUAUAUUAACUUUAUUAAAAUUAAUAAUGAAAUAAAUAUAAAAACUCAAAUAAAAAAGUAGAGGUUAAAGGGGUGU